rnacentral:tRNA from 1 species
GCCCCGGUAGCUUAGCGGUGGAGCGGAUGGCUGUUAACCAUCAGGUCACCAGUUCGAGUCUGGUCCGGGGCG